GAUGAACGCUGGCGGCGUGCCUAAUACAUGCCAGUCGAGCGAACGGACGAGAAGCUUGCUUCUCUGAUGUUAGCGGCGGACGGGUGAGUAACACGUGGAUAACCUACCUAUAAGACUGGGAUAACUUCGGGAAACCGGAGCUAAUACCGGAUAAUAUUUUGAACCGCAUGGUUCAAAAGUGAAAGACGGUCUUGUUGUCACUUAUAGAUGGAUCCGCGCUGCAUUAGCUAGUUGGUAAGGUAACGGCUUACCAAGGCAACGAUGCAUAGCCGACCUGAGAGGGUGAUCGGCCACACUGGAACUGAGACACGGUCCAGACUCCUACGGGAGGCAGCAGUAGGGAAUCUUCCGCAAUGGGCGAAAGCCUGACGGAGCAACGCCGCGUGAGUGAUGAAGGUCUUCGGAUCGUAAAACUCUGUUAUUAGGGAAGAACAUAUGUGUAAGUAACUGUGCACAUCUUGACGGUACCUAAUCAGAAAGCCACGGCUAACUACGUG
rnacentral:rRNA from 1 species